rnacentral:rRNA from 1 species
UACGUAGGGAGCGAGCGUUAUCCGGAUUUACUGGGUGUAAAGGGCGCGUAGGCGGGAGUGCAAGUCAGAUGUGAAAUCUCCGGGCUCAACCUGGAAACUGCAUUUGAAACUGUAUUUCUUGAGUGAUGGAGAGGCAAGCGGAAUUCCUAGUGUAGCGGUGAAAUGCGUAGAUAUUAGGAGGAACACCAGUGGCGAAGGCGGCUUGCUGGACAUUAACUGACGCUGAGGCGCGAAAGCGUGGGGAGCAAAC